GAUUCUCAAUGAGCAAGAGAAGAUGAGGGAAGGUGCUAGAAGCCAGGCCCAGGAAGGUUCCUCAGGUUAAUUCUCACGUAGCAGGUAGGAACCCUAGCCUGGGAGUCAGAGGCCAAGAUUCUAGUUCUGAAGCUGCUUACUCUAUCAUCUUGGACAGGACUUCCCUGAUCCUCCCUGUCUUUAUGUAACCUUGGAAGAGUCCCUGGACUUUGCCUGGCCUCAGUUUCCCCUCCUUUUAAUGGGAUGGCAAUACUGGUUGAGCAAUCAAGAAUGGGAAAAAACUGUGAGAGUCCGGGGGUCGGGGGUCCAUACCUAGGUGAGGUCCUGUGGGGACUGGGCAGGGAAGGCCUCGUGAGAGCAGAUUCCACCAGUGUGUGGCCCAGGCUGGUCACAGAGCUGUGUAAAGGCGGAAGGGGCCCAUCAGCCUGGGAAGGCAGACCAGGCCCUACUGGGCCUCACCUCUGCAUGUGAGGUGGAGCAGUGGCCAGCAGGGGUCCAGGAAACCCUUGCAGCAGUCCUGUGGAUUUGCUGCCCUUCUUUCCAGAACUCUUGUUUGCUCAAAAUGAGACAGAACAGGAGACACCAGAGCCUUGAACAACCCAACACGGGUCUGUUUGAAG
rnacentral:lncRNA from 1 species